rnacentral:rRNA from 1 species
GCUUGUCUCAAGAUUAAGCCAUGCACGUGUCAGUACGGCCGUUCAUACGGCGAGACCGCAAAAGGCUCAUUAGAUCGAUCGUUGUUCCUUAGAGCGUACGUAACCACUUGGAUAACUGUGGUAAUUCUGGAGCUAAUACAUGCAUUUCGGUCGGCUUCUAGCUCGCGCUGGAAGCUGGCGAUUAUUAGAGCGAAACCGGCGGUCGGUGGCCUGCAAAGGCCCCGGCGUUUUACAGCCUGAUGAAUCUGAAUAACUGUGGCUGAUCGCAGUGGCGCCCACCCGGGCGUCGGCGACGUAUCUUUCAAGCGUUUGACCUAUCAAGUUUCGACGGUAGCCUCUUAGGCUACAGUGCUUUUCACGGGUGACGGAGAAUGAGGGUUCGAUGCCGGAGAGGGAGCCUGAGAAAUGGCUACCACCUCCAAGGAAGGCAGCAGGCGCGCAAAUUACCCACUCCCAGCACGGGGAGGUAGUGACGAAAAAUAACGAUACGGGAGCCUUACGUAGGCCUCGUAAUCGGAAUGAGUACAGCUUAAAUCCUUGAAAGCGAUGAUCUAUUGGAGGGCAAGUCUGGUGCCAGCAGCCGCGGUAAUUCCAGCUCCAAUAGCGUAUACUAACGCUAUUGUGGUUAAAAAGCUCGUAGUUGGAUGUGCGUACGAGCGUUGGCGUGAAAAAUUGGUGGUCGCGGCCUACACAGGCCGUCGUACUGCAUAAACGUGGCGAAUCGACGAUGUUUACUGUCGCACGACUCCGCGCCUCACGGCGUUGCGAGUAUACGUCCUACGUGCCCUUCACUGGCGUGCGUCAUGGACACGACGGUGGCUUUACUUUGAAAAAAUUAGAGUGCUCAGAGCAGGCGAUUCUUCGGCCGGCAUACGAAAGCAUGGAAUAAUAGAAUAUGACCGGCCGUCGCGCGUUUGCGUUCGGUUUGGCGACUGUCGCUGGUAAUGAUGAAUCGGGACGAACGGGGGCAUACGUAUUGCGACGCUAGAGGUGAAAUUCUUGGACCGUCGCAAGACGAACUGGUGCGAAGGCGUUUGCCAAGAACGUCUUCCUUGAUCAAGAGCGACAGUCAGAGGCUCGAAGACGAUCAGAUACCGUCGUAGUUCUGACCGUAAACGAUGUCGGCUGGGGAUGGGCGGGCGUUCGCAGUGAAUGACCCUGCCCGCACUCGAGAGAGCAAUCUGAAGCGUUCGGAUUCUAUGGAAAGUAUGGUUGCAAAAGCGAAAUUUAAAGGAAUUGACGGAAGGGCACCACCAGGAGUGGAGCCUGCGGCUUAAUUUGACUCAACACGGGGAAACUCACCCGGCCCGAACACCGUAAGGAUUGACAGAUUGAGAGCUCUUUCUCGAUUCGGUGGCUGGUGGUGCAUGGCCGUUCUUAGUUGGUGGAGUGAUUUGUCUGGUUGAUUCCGAUAACGAACGAGACUCUAGCCUGUUAACUAGCCCCAGCUCGGCGAUUUAGUCGUCUGGGCGUCUCGUUAUCGGCGAGCGCUUCUUAGAGGGACAAGCGCCUCGUAGGCGCACGAGAUUGAGCAAUAACAGGUCUGUGAUGCCCUUAGAUGUUCGGGGCCGCACGCGCGCUACACUGAAGGCGUGAGCGUGUGCACUUGGUAGACCCGGUCCGACAGGGCCGGGCAAUCCCUUGAAUUGCCUUCGUGCUUGGGACCGGGCCUUGCAAUUGUUGCCCGCGAACGAGGAAUUCCUAGUAAGCGCGCGUCAUCAGCUCGCGCUGACUACGUCCCUGCCCUUUGUACACACCGCCCGUCGCUACUACCGAUUGGAUGGUUUAGUGAGGCCCUCGGAUGGGCGUGUCGCUGGCUUUUGUCGGCGACAGGGUCUAAAAGACGGUCAAAC